CGUGUUCUGCAGUUUGAGAGGCCAUUUUGUUGACUUUGUAGCGCUAUUUUGCGCGAAGUUUCUGGGAGAAUAUGAGCGAAUCCGACAACGGAAACGAUGCCGACUUGCCUGGGGGAUACACCAGCGAGGAGUCGGUGGGAGAGGGCUCUGAAGAAGAACACGAGCAAGGUAAAUAAGCCGAUGUUUUUGUGUCAAAAUGAACAACACUAGGUCGACUAAUAAUUCAUGACUUUUCGUCCUUCACGUUCAGUUUUUGCCGCUAUACGCACUCUGCAUAUGAAGUCUUCCUACGAGAACAUGUCCCGCGCAUACAGCCAGGGCUGCACAUCUAGCCUCUGGCAAUUAUCGCAUCCAACGAUGAUGGUGACAGCCAUGACAGUGCUGAUAGCAGUGAUGAAGAUGAUCAUGACGGCGGACCUGGAGACGUACGUGGUGUUUGGAUGCCUGUCAUGGAAGAUGAUCCUGGUCCAGCUCCUGUCCAUUUCACUGCAAUUCCAGGCGUCAAACAUCCACCUGCCGGAAACGCCAGGCCUAUCGAGUACUUCGACUUGUAUUUCACCCCAGCGAUCAUAGACAGAAUUGUCACCGAAACGAAUCGGUAUGCCCAGCAGUGGAUUGAUGCGAAUAGGGAUUAUCUUGUUGAGAAGCCGCACUCUGUUGUCAAUCAGUGGAGAAAGUUUGGAGGAACAACACCAGAAGAGAUUCGUGCAUUUGUAGGCCUUAUUCUCAACAUGGGACUGGUAACCAAGUCGACCUUGAAGGGCUACUGGGACGUUUCCAACCCAAACUUUGGGACAUCGUGGUUCGUUGAGCAUUUUUCCAGAGAUCGCUUUCAGCUCCUAGUGAAGUUCCUUCAUUUCAACAACAAUGAAGAACAACCUCCCUGUGGUGAUCCAGGCCAUAAACUGCACAAGAUCAAACCAAUCAUCGACCACUUCAACACAGAAUUCCUCAACCACUACCAUCCCAGUCAGAACAUCUCAAUAGAUGAGUCCAUGGUCGGGUUCAAAGGAAAGACCCCACAUAUAAGACAGUUCAUGCCACAGAAGAGGCAUGCACGGUUGGUAUCAAGUUAUGGUGCGUCUGCGACAGUCUGAAUGGGUAUACUUCCCACCUGGAGGUGUACAAAGGGAAAAGAGGCAGCACCUCCAGCUGAUGACCGCGGCACAACAUACCAUCUU